AUUGAACGCUGGCGGCAUGCCUUACACAUGCAAGUCGAGCGCGAAAAGGGGGCGAACCCCGACGUAGAGCGGCGGACGGGUGAGUAACACAUCGGAACGUGCCCACGUAGUGGGGGACGAACCUCGAGAAAUACGAGGCUAAUACCGCAUACGACCCACGGUGAAGCGGGGACCGGCAAGCCUCGCGCUAUUGGAGCGGCCGAUGUCCGAUUAGCUAGUU
rnacentral:rRNA from 1 species